UUCCACAAGUUGCUCGGCAUCUUUUUGGCAACUUUUCAUUUUAUGAAUAACUUUUAUUUUAAACGUUUAAAACAAAAGUUAUUCAUAAAAUGAAAAGUUGCCAAAAAGGUGCCGAGCAACUUGUGGAA
rnacentral:miRNA from 1 species